AUGGAGUUCAUCCGACAAGUCCUGGAUCCCCACAGCCUUCCCUCCAUCUGGCGCAUGCGCUGUUUCCCCCUUGGCAACAGAUUGGCACUGCGAUCUCUUAAGCAAUUUCAGAUAACUUUUCUUGCAAAAACCACAAAAAGCCAAACAUACAGAAAAACUGACAAGAUGCGAAGCAAUGGGAAACUAAUUCAUCUCUGUCAAGGUAAGUUCAAACAGGCUUUUAGGAACUCCUGCUGUGGUGAAAUGGGUUAAGAAUCCAACUGCAGCCCUGGCCCAAGAAUAUUCAUUAAAACAAAACAAACACAAUCUUUUAAAAAACAAGUGAAAAUACAGAGCAGGGAUUACAGUCUCAGAGCCCGCAGGGGAUUAACAUAAGUGAGUGAAGUGGAUUUAAGAAAAAGAUCAACAAACCAAAGUUUAAUAACCUAUGUGUAAGUAGAUCUUUGAGGUAGGACAUGAUGAUACUCUUCCUGUUGUCUCAGAGUCUGUGCUGAGGUCCCCAGGCUGAGGAUAACAGUGACAAGGACUUUUACUUCUACAGCGAGCUGGGAUCUAACAAGCUGUAUGAGUUUAAUAAAUGAGAGCAGAUCCAAUAACCCAGCAAAUUAGAGCAGAACCAACGUAGCUGGACACCCCUAGCCUAGAAAGAAAAGACUGAAAGGGGGAAGGGGAAUUAUUGGAAAGGAAUUCAGGAGAAGAGAGGAGGAGGCAGGGG
ensembl:lncRNA